rnacentral:lncRNA from 1 species
UUCAGGGAAUCUAUGACAUAUAUAAUUGAAGGGACAUCUCCUCUGAAGGAAUUACAAUUAUUUGCCAGUAUGUCAAAUGAAUUUUCAACAUCAGUCAUACUUUCAUGAAUUUAUUGAUGAAAAUAAAACUAGGUACAUGAUUUAUUAUUUACUUCCAAGGGAUUCUAAGAUACUAUGUGUAAAAAGUCCAAUAUGCAGUGAUGAGCAUGCUAAUAACUGACAAAAUAUGGGAUAUAACGCCAAAGAUGGGAAACACGGGAUGCAUUCUGAAGUAAAAAGAGAUGAAACUGAGAGAAAUUAUCGAUAUAAACAUAUAAAUUAACAUUACAUUACAUAGUUUCCCACCUUUAGACAUAUCAGAUGAGUAUGAGAACUGUCACUGUGCCAGGAGAAUUUUAUAAAAUACUCCUGUCACAGAGAUCUAAAGGUGGGAAACUAUGUAAUGUUAUCGUCGGCUAAGAGUGUUAACCUGCUAACUCCAUUUUUCACUGUGAGUGAUAUUGGGGUAGUUUCUAGGUCUGUGUACCUUCAUACCAAGUCCCACAAGCCCGCUGGUUCCACUGUAGUUUAGAGAUAGCUAUUUCUAAACUACAUUGGUGUCGGCGGGUUUGUGGGGUGGUGUAUGAAAAUACACGGACCCAGAAACUAGCCCAAUAUCACUCAAAGUGAAAAAUGGAGUUAGCAGGUUAAAACUCUUAUCCAAGGUUAUGUUAAUUUAUUCGUUUAUAACGAUAAGUUCCACUUCUACCAGUUUCAUCUCUUUUUAUCUUACAAGUUAAUAUGUUUUCCAUCUUUUGCGUUAUUUUGCCGGUUAUUAGUGUGAGUGCUCAUUACUGUAUAUUUACGAUUCUGUGAUUUCUCAAUAUGAUGCUGAGUAGGUAUAGAUCUGAGUAGGUAUAUAGUAGGUAUCUACAAUCCUUUCAAAACAGAAAUUUAUAAGUUCAUUUUAUGUACCUAUUAAACUUUAUUUUAAGGAUGAAUUUGAAAUGCUUGUAGGGAAUAUAUCUGUAAAAAAUAAAAUUGGUAUUGUAAAAUUGAAAUUCUCAAAAUAUAAUUUAUAAUUCGAA